UGUAAAGGGAAAAUGAAUGCUGGACACUGGACCGUCCUUUCUUGCAUGCUGUCCUAUUCAAUCUACUUCCGCUGGUCUAGGGGCACAAGAACUCCUGUUUGGGCAUGAAAACGCCUGCCUGCAUGGAUCACAGAAGGUUUAGCCACAGGUGACUACAGGAAGGUCUACUAUUUCUCUGAAGCAUUUGCCCAAGAGCCCUAAGUGGCUAGACAACUACACGGAAUACCAUCACUCUCCAGUCAACCCUUUGGGAAGGCAAGACUAGGGAGUAUCUUUUUAAAGACACGUGUUAGAAUCUUGUUCCACUGUUUUCGAUCAUCAGCUUUCAAAUUGGUAUAAAGUUAUGCUGCUGUUUUA